AUGCCCCCGAAGAAGGCGGCGGCGUCGAAGGCCGACGUAGCGAAGAAGCAGAAGGUCGUGGAGGACAAGACCUUCGGGCUCAAGAACAAGAACAAGAGCAAGAACGUCCAGAAGUACGUCCAGUCGCUGCACCAGUCCGUCCAGCCCAAGCCCGACCCGACCAAGACCGCCGCCAAGAAGAAGAAGGAGGAGGAGAAGGCGCGCGAGAAGGAGCUCAACGAUCUAUUCAAGGUCGCCGUCAGCCAGCCCAAGGUCCCCGUUGGUGUCGACCCCAAGUCGAUACUUUGCGAGUUCUUCAAGGUUGGACAAUGUCAGAAGGGUUUUAAAUGCAAGUUCUCACACGACCUGAAUGUCCAAAGGAAGGGUGAGAAGAUUGAUAUUUACAGCGACAAGCGCGAUGGAGAGGAAGAAGAUACAAUGGAUGACUGGGAUCAGGAGACCCUUGAGAAAGUUAUUGCAUCAAAAAACGCAGAGUACCAGCAGAAUAAACCUACUGAUAUUGUUUGCAAGCACUUUCUUGAUGCUGUGGAGAAGAAGCAGUAUGGGUGGUUUUGGGUUUGUCCAAAUGGCGGCAAGGAGUGCCGCUACAGGCAUGCCCUUCCGCCUGGUUAUGUACUAAAGUCUCAGAUGAAAGCCUUACUAGAGGAAGAGAGUAAAAAGGUUGCAAUUGAAGAUGAGAUUGAAGACCAGCGCAGAAAGGUUCAAACCACAACCCCUAUGACUACAGAAUUGUUCAUGGAAUGGAAAAGGAGGAAGGCAGAAGAAAAGGAAGCUGGUCUGGCGGCCUUGAGGGCAGAUAGGGCUAAGAAUGACCGUAUGAGUGGUCGUGAGUUGUUCAUGGCCGAUGCAAGUGUGUUUAUUGAUGAUGCUGAAGCAUAUGAAGUUUAUGAAAGACGUGAAGAGCCACAAGCCAACCAGGAACAGGGCAAGAAAAGUCAGGAUGAAGGUCCAAGCUCAUCAACCUCUAAUGGCAAGGAGGCCGACGAGGAGCUGGAUGAUGAAGAUCUAGAUGAUGACGAUGACCUAGACCUUGACGAAUUAAAUGAACUCGAAGCAAGCCUGUCGAGAACUUCCAUUCAAAUUCAAGAACCAGGUGAGGGGACAUCAUCUUGA
rnacentral:rRNA from 1 species